ensembl:lncRNA
UUAUUUUAUUUAUUUUUUUUUGCUCUAGGGGCCCCCCCCCGUGGCCCGGGGCCCUCAAACAAUUGCGGGGCCCCAGGCAGUUGCCUGGUAUGCCUAAUGGGAUGCGGCGCCUCUGUCCACUUGGAUGCAUGAUGGAUAGAUAAGCCUACCAGCCCAUCCAUCUUACCAAUGGAUGGACUCUCCCACUUAUGAUGUCCAUAAGUAACAGGGCAAGUCAGAUCUUGAAACGUCUUGUGAUGGCUAAACACACUCACACCUGGCCUUGUAUGCAUAUAAUCAAAUUUAACAGGUUGGUGGAGAAAAGCUCCCUGAAAUCUCAAGGUAUGCUAAGGGUACCUUGUGUGGGUCCUGGGUGUGUGUGUUUGUGUUUGUGUGUGUGUUUUUCUCACCCUGCCACACACACACACACACACACACACACACACACACACACACACACACACACACACACACACACACACACACACACACACACACACACACACACAAUCCAGCAGAACAACAUUUUGUUGCUUGUGUAAGAAUUCAGAUGUCUUAUGUGUUCACUAAGUGUUUAUCUUCAUGUUCUGAGAACUGUUGUUGAGUAGCGAUGUUCUGUUAAUGGUCUUAAAGGAUUUACAGCCAGAGAUAAAUAGUCUGAUAGGGUUCACCAGGAGUCUCUUUCUGGUAAACACAUGGCAAGAGCAUCAACAUAACAAACCACAAAUAUUGACAUGCAUGAUGCAAGAUGGAAAUCAUGCAAGUACACACACAUGCAUACACACACACACACACACACACACACACACACACACACACACACACACACACACACACACACACACACACACACACACACACACACACUAAAAUAAACCACCAUAAUCCAUGUUAUGGUGUGUUCAACAGGAGAUUAUGUCACCUGUGUGGUGAUUUGCAGGGUCAUCCCCUGGGCCAAUCGUCUCCCAUCACCAAACACCAGAUAAGCCUUCGAGGUCCCCACAUAUCCAAGGCACCCCGAAAUAGACUGUGGCUGGCUGUUCAGGCUGCCUAGUGGAUACUACUAGACAGCCAAGGCCCCAUGCAUGUGCCCAUCCUACUUCUGAGAGACACAUUGCCUCUGUGUUGUGUAUCAACAUGCAGAUAAAAGCUGACCUCUUCCUGACGAAAACACUGCUGAAUGAGUCCUUGAAGUUAUUUGCUUUGCUUUUUGCAGUGUGAUGUAGUUAAUGAGCAGGUUUCACAACUAUCCAUUCAGGAGGCUGAAGGAAUAUUCUGAUCAACCAAUAACACAACAAGAAAUGGCUGACCAUCCAUUCAAAUAUCUAUACAUAUUGUGACCAUCAGAUAUCUCAGAAUUGUUAAAGAUUUAUUCUUUAAUAAUAUUUGAAUCUUAGGUUCAACAAGGCGGUUUCACUUUACAAUAAAGGUACACUAAUAAAACGUUCAUUCACAUGAGUUAAUGCAUGCAGUAAUAAGCAUGGUGGUCAUGUUUAUAAUGGGGAUAAUGGUAACUAAGGGAAUAAUGUUCAUGUUAACUACUGUCAUCUUGCUGCCUGGAUCAUGGACCACCUCGCCAACAGACCACAGUACGUGAGGCUGCGUGGCUGUGACUCGGAUGUGGUACUCUGCACAGGGACCCCACAAGGCCCUGUGCCCCUUUCUGUUCAGAUACAUUACAGACAGUUGUCAUCUCCAGAAGUUCUCUGAUAACAUAGCCAACAAUUGUUUUUGGCUGUGUUAAAAAGGGGAAUAAGCUGGAGUACAGGGGGGUCAUCACCAGCUUUGUUGAAUGGUGUGGAAAAAAACAUCUUCAGAUGAACACCAGUAUGACAAAGGAGAUGGAGAUUGACUUCAGCCAGGGCCGAUGCUGGCCGUUUUGGUGCACUACCGAAAUACAUAAAAUUACCAAAUUUUAUGUAUUAGAAAUCUGCCGAAAUUGAGUGAUAGGUUAUACAAUUAAGAAAAAACAACGGUGGGCCACUUCAUAGCUAAUUUAUAUAUUUUUGUCACUCAAUAAUGUAAUAAUUGUAUUUUAUUUUUUACAAACUUUAAUUUUUGUUGCCCCCCCCAGGUACUUGCUGCCCUACGCACUCUGCGUACUCUGCUUAUAGGGAGAGGCGGGCCUCACUUCAGCCGGAAGGCACCACCAAUUGCACCAGUGAACAUCCAGGGAGGCGACAUUGAGGUUGUAUCAGUCUACAAAUACCUGGGGGCUCACCUCAACAAUAAACUGGACUGGUCACAUAACACAGAUGCCUUGUACAAGAAGGGCCAAAGUCGUCUGCACUUGCUGAGAAGAUUGAGGUCUUUUGGGGCGUGCAGGCCGCUGUUAAGGACUUUUUAUGACACUGUUGUUGCAUCUGUAAUUUUUUAUGCAGUAGUCUGUCGGGGUUGUGGGUCCACUGAGAGGGACAGGAAGAGACUACACACCUGGUGGGAAGGGCUGGCUCUGUCCUAGGCUGUACACUGGAGCCUGUUGAGGUGGUAGGGGAGAGGAGGAAUGUUGGACAAAUUGGCAUCCAUCAGGUCCAAUUCCUCUCAUCCUCUCCACGAGACAGAGGCAGCACACAACAGUUCCUUGAGUAAGAGACUAUUACACCCAGCAUGCAAGAAGGAAUGUUUUUAUUCCAUCUGUCAUCUGACUCUUUUAACACAUCUGGUAUGAAAUAUUGGGCAACCAAAAAUGCCUUCACCUAAAUAAUAAUGCAAUACUUUAAAUAACAAUGUAAUAAUGUAGACUUUCCACUGUACAUGUGUGACUAAGUAUUUAUUCUGUAGUGAGGCACCUCUUGGCCUCAUGUAUUGUGUAGCUCCUGGGCGUGUGCACUAAUGCCCUUAUGGCAUGACAUUGUAAUCACUGUGUGAUCUUUUUGUUUGUAUUUUAUUUUGUAUUAUUUUGUAUUAUCUUAUUAUUAUCUUAUUAUUUUAUUGCAUAUUUUAUAUUCCAUGGGCUGCUGUAACAAGUUAAUUUCCCAUGUAUGGGAUGAAAUAAAGUGAAACAUGAAAACCGUUUAGUAAAUGACUAAUAUAGCAUUAAAUGAACUUUUAAUUAAUUGGAAGUAAAUUGUUAGUUAAUGAUUAUUACUGAGCAUUUUGGUGAAAAUAUCGACCAGAGAGCACUGCCUCAUCUCUCUCUCUCUCUCUCUCUCAGUGCUCUCUCUCUCUCUCUCUCUCUCUCUCUCUCUCUCUCUCUCUCUCUCUCUCUCUCUCUCUCUCUCUCUCUCUCUCUCUCUGCUCUCCCCUCUCAAUGCUCUCCCCCUCUCAGUGCUCAGAGAGAGUACGUACUAACGUUUGCUAAAACAAAUGACAGCUCUUUCAAUGAAGCCACAUAAAUAUUGUCAUCUGAUCAUGUCCUCUCUAAACCUCAAGAUGUUUGUAAGUGCUUCUGUAAGUGCUUUAUGUGAAUACUGUAUGUUGCAGGAAGACUGAUGAUUUUGAUUUUUUUGUAGAGACCCGAGAUAGAAGGUCUAGAGCUCUAUACGGGCUAACAGGAGGACACCAGAGUUGGAUCAGUUAUCUUUGCUAGCUAUCAAUCAUCGUACAACUCACCCUCACCCCAACCCUGUGGUGCUCCCCCCUGGUUCCCUUUCCAAGCAUUCUAGCUUUCUCACACCUAGCUUGGUAGAAUUAUACCAGCAUCAAAAGCGGGUGAGCAACUGGGUAUGCCAGGGUCAGAUGGGAAUGAGGAAAUCUGCGUGCAUACGGUGACGCAAAAGUGUGUUGCUGUGAUACACUAUCACACAACACCGAAAACGCAGUCACCAUGUAAACGAAAGGCACUUCAGAUAAAAUAUUUGGUUGUUUUUACCCGCAAGCGUCCUCGUGUAAGCGGAGCCUAAAUCUAUCGGGUUAUAUCGUCAACAUUUCUGGGUGUUCCUGUGGACCUUGUGCAUUUUGAAAUCAUCAUCACUCUAUUGGGAUUAAUAGCAAA